rnacentral:tRNA from 1 species
GCGGCGAUAGCUCAGUGGGAAAGCGCCAGGUGAGUAGAUGGCGAUUACUCCGGAGAGCUAUUAUCCGCGCGGGUUCGAAUCCUGCCUGUAGCU